GGGCACGUGGUCUAGGGGUAUGACGUCUGCUUCGCACUGAUCUUGGUAUAGAAAUGACCUAUAACUCAUAGUAAUCAUCUUGAAUACUGAUCACACAGUGGUAUGCUGAAGGUCCGGGGUUCAAUUCCCCGCGUGUCCA